GAGAGCAGAGAGCUCUCGCUCAAAGAAAGGAAGAAGAAGAAGAAGAAGAAGAAGAAGGGUUUUGUGUGUUCUCGUCAUGGGAGCCUCGCCAAGCCACAUUAAUUACGUAACGCGGCACCUGGUCCCUCGAUUAACGAUGAGUAGGUACGAGAGCGAUAUGGAUGUGGGGACUCUUAAGAGUUGGAUUUUGAGAGCUCUGAGGCUGCGUCCUUUGAGUGGAAGGACGGCCGUGUCAUUCCCCUUUCUUGUUGGUUUUUAGGGUGUGACAUUUGGUGGUAUCAGAGCUUAGGUUAUGAUCUUUUGGGUGUAAAUUUUAUGGGACGUUGUGAGGGUGUGUUAGUUUUAGCGCGUUAGUCUUUGUUAUGUAUUAGGAUGUAAGUCUUUUCUUUUUGGGGUCGAAACUCGUGCAGCAAUGUUUAAAGUUGCAGAGCACCCUGCGGAUACUAUGAAGAUCUGUGACUUGAAGGGUCAUAGUGUAGAGAUUGAGUAAAGCCUUGAUGUGUCAAGUGUGAUAAAGGAGGAUGUUAUCGUGGUAGAAGUGUUGGGUUUAAGGAUAAUAAAUGUUGGGCUACAAGUUUUCAA